CAGCAGCCGCGGUAAUACAGAGGGUGCAAGCGUUGUUCGGAAUUACUGGGCGUAAAGCGUGCGUAGUCGGUAUUGAGAGUCGCGGGUGAAAUCCCAGGGCUUAACCCUGGAACUGCCUGCGAGACCUCAGUACUAGAGUGUGAGAGGGGAUAGUGGAAUACCCAGUGUAGCGGUGAAAUGCGUAGAGAUUGGGUGGAACACCGGUGGCGAAGCGGCUAUCUGGCUCACAACUGACGAUCAGGCACGAAAGCGUGGGGAGCAAACAGGAUUAGAUACCCUGGUAGUCCACGCCGUAAACUAUGCAUACAAGCUGUAGUGGGAUUUUACUCCUGCUGUGGCGAAGCUAACGCAAUUAGUAUGCCGCCUGGGGAGUACGGUCGCAAGACUAAAACUCAAAUGAAUUGACGG
rnacentral:rRNA from 1 species